UGAUGGUGUUCCUUCCUUGCCUGGAGUGUUGGCGCUAGGAAUUCAGGUCAUCAUCAGUCAAACUUGAUUGUCUUCACUCAGAGAAUAUUGGGAUAACGGGAUCAUUGUUCAUUCUCUGAAAUGUGCCGGAUCAAACACUG